UACGUAGGGUGCAAGCGUUGUCCGGAAUUAUUGGGCGUAAAGAGCUCGUAGGCGGUCUGUCACGUCGGCUGUGAAAUCCCGAGGCUCAACCUCGGGUCUGCAGUCGAUACGGGCAAACUAGAGUAUUGCAGGGGAGACUGGAAUUCCUGGUGCAGCGGUGAAAUGCGCAGAUAUCAGGAGGAACACCGGUGGCGAAGGCGGGUCUCUGGGCAAUAACUGACGCUGAGGAGCGAAAGCGUGGGGAGCGAACAGG
rnacentral:rRNA from 1 species